rnacentral:rRNA from 1 species
UACGUAGGUGGCAAGCGUUGUUCGGAUUCAUUGGGCGUAAAGGGUGUGUAGGUGGCGCCGUAAGUCGGGUGUGAAAUUUCGGAGCUUAACUCCGAAACUGCAUUCGAUACUGCGGUGCUUUGAGGACUGGAGAGGAGACUGGAAUUCAUGGUGUAGCAGUGAAAUGCGUAGAGAUCAUGAGGAAGACCAGUGGCGAAGGCGGGGUCUCUGGACAGUUCCUGACACUGAGACACGAAGGCCAGGGGAGCAAACGGG